rnacentral:rRNA from 1 species
ACAGUGUCUGGUGGGUAGUUUGACUGGGGCGGUCUCCUCCUAAAGAGUAACGGAGGAGCACGAAGGUUGGCUAAUCCUGGUCGGACAUCAGGAGGUUAGUGCAAUGGCAUAAGCCAGCUUGACUGCGAGCGUGACGGCGCGAGCAGGUGCGAAAGCAGGUCAUAGUGAUCCGGUGGUUCUGAAUGGAAGGGCCAUCGCUCAACGGAUAAAAGGUACUCCGGGGAUAACAGGCUGAUACCGCCCAAGAGUUCAUAUCGACGGCGGUGUUUGGCACCUCGAUGUCGGCUCAUCACAUCCUGGGGCUGAAGUAGGUCCCAAGGGUAUGGCUGUUCGCCAUUUAAAGUGGUACGCGAGCUGGGUUUAGAACGUCGUGAGACAGUUCGGUCCCUAUCUGCCGUGGGCGCUGGAGAACUGAGGGGGGCUGCUCCUAGUACGAGAGGACCGGAGUGGACGCAUCACUGGUGUUCGGGUUGUCAUGCCAAUGGCACUGCCCGGUAGCUAAAUGCGGAAGAGAUAAGUGCUGAAAGCAUCUAAGCACGAAACUUGCCCCGAGAUGAGUUCUCCCUGACUCCUUGAGAGUCCUGAAGGAACGUUGAAGACGACGACGUUGAUAGGCCGGGUGUGUAAGCGCAGCGAUGCGUUGAGCU